UGCAAUAUGUAGGUACAAUAAUUUGAAUUUUUGAGUUUAACAUAGCAUGGGGUGAGUUUGGGGCUUGGACAUAGUUAGUUAGUAUUAAUUUUAAGUUAGUAUUUUGUAGGCAUGGAUUUCAGACAUUGACAUGAUUGGUAACAUUAUCAGCUUGCAUGUUUGUUUACAUUUUUAAAAUGAAAUUAUUUUGCAAUAAACAUUAAAAUUUUAGACUAACAUUGUUUUAUUUAUUUCUUUUCAGGUACCCCCAUCAGAAGGACAGGAGCACCGAGUCGCAGAGAGCCUCAGGAGUCAUCACAGGUAAGUUUUGUUGCAUUUUGGCAGUGGACUGUUGCGGCCGCUGGAAAUGGGCCACUUGCAACAAUUUUGUCCGGCCGGCGAUUGCAAGUUAUUUGUUCUUGGUUUCAGCAUCCCUCGCUGCCGUCAUUUGAUAAGAUUGCCGUUCAUCAGGUAGAGGAGAUGCAGUGAGUUGCCCACGCAGCUGUCAUUGCAUUUUUUGAGAGCUGCUGUCUAUAUGGUGGUGGAGUCGUCUCGUGGCAAAGAAGUCGUCAGAGAGGAUUGUGGCUCGGUCUGUCACCGAAGGAAGCCAGGUGCGCCGCGUCUUGUGGCCAUAGCGUCAGGAUUGGCAGCUUGGAGCCGCCGUUUUGAGAUUUGUUGCAGAGAGCCGCCGCAACGGAAUAGCCAUGGAAAUGGAUGCAAAAAUAAUUUGUUUCAGGUACAUUGAGUGGAAU